GCGACAUGAUAAACUGUAUAAAGGAGUGGAGGUGCUACCUGAUUUUAAGAAGCUUGCAAAUUCUAGGGUUGUCGAAAAGAUCCUGGUAACUCUGGAAGUUGCUUUGUGAGUAUCCAUUACUCUUAAACUUAGUGUCUCAUGAUAAAUAACCAGAUAGCAUGAUCCAUUUGUCAUCCAUUGACAUUGAAGGGUGCAACCGUCUCCAAGUGAUCAAGUUCAUCAAGAACUCAUGUUAUUACCUAGCAUUUCUUUGCCAUUUUCCUGUAAAGGUUUGAUCACUAUAAAGUUUUUGUGUGCUAAUAUACAAUGUAAUUUGCAUUGAUAAGUAUAUACUAUUUCGUGUACGAACCAGGCCGCCAGCUCCAAUUGGCAAGAAAGACACGUCAUACUGGGUUGCAUAAGGCUUGGUUCAGCAUCAUCUGGCAUCCAUCCAAAUACAAGGAAGGUAGUGGAACAUGUCAAAUUAUGUAAGGGAAGCUGGUGUCAGGCGAGCCCCAAAUUAAGAUUUGCCAAGAUAAGUGAAACACAACGCAAGUGGUGUAUUUUGCACGUUUUUUAGUUUGUUGCAUUAUUUGUGUAUUGAGACUCAGACCUGCAAGAGACUUUUUAGUUUGUUGCAUUAUUUGUGUAUUGAGACUCAGACCUGCAAGAGACUUGGUAAAAUGUUUGUUCUA